UACGGGGGGGGUAAGCGUUGUCCGGAAUUAUUGGGCGUAAAGAGCUCGUAGGCGGUUCGUCGCGUCGGCUGUGAAAUCCCGAGGCUCAACCUCGGGUCUGCAGUCGAUACGGGCGGACUGGAGUUCGGCAGGGGAGACUGGAAUUCCUGGUGUAGCGGUGAAAUGCGCAGAUAUCAGGAGGAACACCGGUGGCGAAGGCGGGUCUCUGGGCCGAGACUGACGCUGAGGAGCGAAAGCGUGGGGAGCGAACAGG
rnacentral:rRNA from 1 species